UCUCCGCUGGUGAGCCAGCGGAGGGAUCAUUACCGAGUUUACAACUCCCAAACCCCUGUGAACAUACCAUUUGUUGCCUCGGCGGUGCCUGCUUCGGCAGCCCGCCAGAGGACCCAAACCCUUGAUUUUAUACAGUAUCUUCUGAGUAAAUGAUUAAAUAAAUCAAAACUUUCAACAACGGAUCUCUUGGUUCUG
rnacentral:misc_RNA from 1 species